CACCAUGAGAUUUCGACGCCUGACCCCUGGCUACUUCCGGGUGCUACAGGUAAGUACCUCUAACCUACGGCUUCAGCCACGGACCCCCUCUUUCCCCUACCAUAGCUGGGCUAACACCCCCAGCAUCCAGGCUGUCACGUUUCCUGCCGCCUGAGCGGCCAGGGCCCAGAUGGGCAGUGAAGCGAGAGGGAUUGGGGUGGAAUCUCCCUGGGGCAGCAAUGGCAUCCAUAUCUCCUUCACCCAGCUGUACCCUCUCAGCUCCUUCCCACUCCCCCACCUUCCCAGAAGUCUCAACUGACCCCUCAGAUGGACCCUCUGUGUACCUCCAGAUGCAGAUAGCUGGGGAGCUCAAAGCAGAGCCCCGGAGUCCACUGGCCGGGGUAGUGGCUACACUGCUGGCUGUCCUUGGACUGGGUGGCUCCUGCUAUGCUGUCUGGAAGAUGGUGGGGCAGCGGCGGCCGCCACAGGCCUGAUGAUAAAGUAGGCAGCCUCAUGCCCGGGUCCUGGGGGAGGUGACUCAGUGGGGGCUGCAAUCUCGGGAGCCCACUUCUUUUCUGAGGGUCAGUCCCUGAUCUUCCCUCUCCCCUUCACUGACCUGGGCUCCAUCUUGGGGCUCCAGCUCAGAUGCCAGGACCCCUGAGGGAAAGCAAGGCUGUAGGUUCCAAAGCCGGACCAAGUGGGGAAUGGACACCCUUGGCCCUGUAAACAAGAGUAACAGAGAAACCCCUACAGGGCAGGAGUUUGGAGGAGUGGCCUGGAGGUUAGAGAGUCAGAGACAAGUCCUCUUCAUCCAGUUCCUUUAUUGGGGGUGAGGACACCCAGAAGAGGCCGUCCACUCCCCAAACCCAGGGCCAAAAUAGGUUGGCACAGUCUUUGCCAGCCUAGCCCUUGCACCACUGUCCAUGGGCAGUUCCCCUGCCCUACAUCCUCAGACCAUGUCAGGGAGAUGUGUCCAUCUCGGGGGCCUCAGUGGAUACUUCAGUGGGCACGGCCAGCCGCUGGGGGGGCACAUAAGAGCCCAUACCCGCUGCCCUUUCGGCCUCCUCCUGACUGUAGGGCUCCACGCUCAGCUGCUUUAGCCUGGUUGAAAGAAGAGAGAGAGUUGGGAGCUGACCAGAUGCAAGCCCUGUCUGCCCAGCACCCGACCACCAGUCCUCUCCUUACUCCUUCAUACCUCUUCUUGUGGUCUUUGGAUCGGAAGUGGGUCUUCAGGGUGGUGGAAUCGACGAAGUACCUCCUGUAGGGAUGGGAGGUGGGUAAGGAGGAGAGUGAGGUGAUGCAUCUCAGGUAUGCCUAUCUCCCUGACGCGGGGCUCUGAGCGUGAAGUGAUGGGAGGUCAGCAGAACCCGCGCGUCCUGGGACCCGGACCUCACGCCCCCGUCCCGUCCCGCGUACCCUUCUCCUCCCCAGGCCAGGCCCGGCCGGGACUCACGCGCAGGCCAGACAGCGAUGCAGGCCGCCCCCUGGCAGGUCGGGGUCGGGCUCGGAGCCCAGGUCUGGACGAGACCGUGCGGGAACCUGGGGCCGCAGCUCGCGGUGAAUUUCGUCCAGGUCCGGCUGCCGCCGCUUCGCCUUCAUCUGGCGGGCCAGGGAGUGGGCUCGGUGAGCACCCGUCCGACGGGAGCGACCCAUGGCCAGUGACGGCGGGGCCAGGGGGCCCAGAGC
rnacentral:lncRNA from 1 species